rnacentral:rRNA from 1 species
AUUGAACGCUGGCGGCAUGCCUUACACAUGCAAGUCGAACGGCAGCACGGGAGCAAUCCUGGUGGCGAGUGGCGAACGGGUGAGUAAAGUAUCGGAACGUGCCCAGUCGCGGGGGAUGACGUAGCGAAAGUUACGCUAAUACCGCAUACGAUCUAUGGAUGAAAGCGGGGGAUCGCAAGACCUCGCGCGCUCGGACCGGCCGAUAUCAGAUUAGGUAGUUGGUGGGGUAAAGGCUCACAAAGCGGACGAUCUGUAGCUGGUCUGAGAGGACGACCAGCCGCACUGGGAGUGAGACACGGCCCAGGCUCCUACGGGAGGCAGCAGUGGGGAAUUUUGGACAAUGGGCGAAAGCCUGGUCCAGCCAUGCCGCGUGCAGGAUGAAGGCCUUCGGGUUGUAAACUGCUUUUGUACGGAACGAAAAGGUUUGGCCUAAUAAGCUGAGCUCAUGACGGUACCGUAAGAAUAAGCACCGGCUAACUACGUGCCAGCCGCCGCAGUAA